GAUGAACGCUAGCUACAGGCUUAACACAUGCAAGUCGAGGGGAAACGACAUCGAAAGCUUGCUUUUGAUGGGCGUCGACCGGCGCACGGGUGAGUAACGCGUAUCCAACCUGCCCACCACUUGGGGAUAACCUUGCGAAAGUAAGACUAAAACCCAAUGACGUCUCUAGAAGACAUCUGAAAGAGAUUAAAGAUUUAUCGGUGAUGGAUGGGGAUGCGUCUGAUUAGCUUGUUGGCGGGGUAACGGCCCACCAAGGCGACGAUCAGUAGGGGUUCUGAGAGGAAGGUCCCCCACAUUGGAACUGAGACACGGUCCAAACUCCUACGGGAGGCAGCAGUGAGGAAUAUUGGUCAAUGGACGAGAGUCUGAACCAGCCAAGUAGCGUGCAGGAUGACGGCCCUAUGGGUUGUAAACUGCUUUUAUAAGGGAAUAAAGUGAGUCUCGUGAGACUUUUUGCAUGUACCUUAUGAAUAAGGACCGGCUAAUUCCGUG
rnacentral:rRNA from 1 species